rnacentral:rRNA from 1 species
UCGAUUAGAGUUUGAUCAUGGCUCAGGAUGAACGCUGGCGGCGUGCCUAAUACAUGCAAGUCGAACGCGCAGCGAAAGGUGCUUGCACCUUUCAAGCGAGUGGCGAACGGGUGAGUAACACGUGGAUAACCUGCCUCAAGGCUGGGGAUAACAUUUGGAAACAGAUGCUAAUACCGAAUAAAACUUAGUAUCGCAUGAUACAAAGUUAAAAGGCGCUACGGCGUCACCUAGAGAUGGAUCCGCGGUGCAUUAGUUAGUUGGUGGGGUAAAGGCUUACCAAGACGAUGAUGCAUAGCCGAGUUGAGAGACUGAUCGGCCACAUUGGGACUGAGACACGGCCCAAACUCCUACGGGAGGCUGCAGUAGGGAAUCUUCCACAAUGGGCGCAAGCCUGAUGGAGCAACGCCGCGUGUGUGAUGAAGGCUUUCGGGUCGUAAAGCACUGUUGUAUGGGAAGAAAUGCUAAAAUAGGGAAUGAUUUUAGUUUGACGGUACCAUACCAGAAAGGGACGGCUAAAUACGUGCCAGCAGCCGCGGUAAUACGUAUGUCCCGAGCGUUAUCCGGAUUUAUUGGGCGUAAAGCGAGCGCAGACGGUUGAUUAAGUCUGAUGUGAAAGCCCGGAGCUCAACUCCGGAAUGGCAUUGGAAACUGGUUAACUUGAGUGUUGUAGAGGUAAGUGGAACUCCAUGUGUAGCGGUGGAAUGCGUAGAUAUAUGGAAGAACACCAGUGGCGAAGGCGGCUUACUGGACAACAACUGACGUUGAGGCUCGAAAGUGUGGGUAGCAAACAGGAUUAGAUACCCUGGUAGUCCACACCGUAAACGAUGAAUACUAGGUGUUAGGAGGUUUCCGCCUCUUAGUGCCGAAGCUAACGCAUUAAGUAUUCCGCCUGGGGAGUACGACCGCAAGGUUGAAACUCAAAGGAAUUGACGGGGACCCGCACAAGCGGUGGAGCAUGUGGUUUAAUUCGAAGCAACGCGAAGAACCUUACCAGGUCUUGACAUCCUUUGAAGCUUUUAGAGAUAGAAGUGUUCUCUUCGGAGACAAAGUGACAGGUGGUGCAUGGUCGUCGUCAGCUCGUGUCGUGAGAUGUUGGGUUAAGUCCCGCAACGAGCGCAACCCUUAUUGUUAGUUGCCAGCAUUCAGUUGGGCACUCUAGCGAGACUGCCGGUGACAAACCGGAGGAAGGCGGGGACGACGUCAGAUCAUCAUGCCCCUUAUGACCUGGGCUACACACGUGCUACAAUGGCGUAUACAACGAGUUGCCAACCUGCGAAGGUGAGCUAAUCUCUUAAAGUACGUCUCAGUUCGGACUGCAGUCUGCAACUCGACUGCACGAAGUCGGAAUCGCUAGUAAUCGCGGAUCAGCACGCCGCGGUGAAUACGUUCCCGGGUCUUGUACACACCGCCCGUCACACCAUGGGAGUUUGUAAUGCCCAAAGCCGGUGGCCUAACCUUCGGGAGGGAGCCGUCUAAGGCAGGACAGAUGACUAGGGUGAAGUCGUAACAAGGUAGCCGUAAAUCGA